rnacentral:rRNA from 1 species
AUUGAACGCUGGCGGUAUGCUUAACACAUGCAAGUCGAACGGCAGCACAGUAUGUAGCAAUACAUAUGGGUGGCGAGUGGCGGACGGGUGAGUAACGCGUAGGAAUCUACCCUAAAGCGGGGGACAACCCGAGGAAACUCGGGCUAAUACCGCAUAAUCUCGAAAGAGUAAAGCUGGGGAAACCUGACACUUUAGGAGGAGCCUGCGUCGGAUUAGCUAGCUGGGGAGGUAAAGGCUCUACAAGGCGAUGAUCGGUAGCUGGCCUGAGAGGAUGAUCAGCCACACUGGGACUGAGACACGGCCCAGAAUCCUACGGGAGGCGGCAGUGGGGAAUAUUGGACAAUGGGGGCAACCCUGAUCCAGCAAUACCGCGUGUGUGAAGAAGGCCUUAGGGUUGUAAAGCACUUUAGUUGGGGAAGAAGGAUCGUUGUUUAAGAGAUGAUUAUUUUGACGGUACCCAAAGAAUAAGCACCGGCUAACUCUGUGCCAGCCGCCGCGGUAA